UUUGCUAGAAUCCUGGCACUGUUACUUAUUCCUUGUAUGUCUCUAGGACUUACAAACCCCAGUGACUAUAUUGCUGGGAGGACUGAGCUGACUUUCGAAAGUGAGGGUGGCAUGCAGUCCUUAACAUCUCUGGUCUUUAACAACUCCCAUGGAUACCCCUGGCCUCGUGUGAGAGAGAACCACAGACCUGGAACCAGACCUGGGCUUCUACCUUGGGUCCUGCAUGCCCUACCUCAAUGAUCUUGGUGACAUGGCUUGGCUCUUUGUCCCCACACAAAUCUCAUGUUGAAUUGUGAACCCCAGUGUUGGAGAUGGGGCCUGGUGGGAGGUGAUUGGAUCAUGGGGGUGGUUUCUAAUGGUUUAGCACCAUCCCGCUAGUGCUGUCUUGUGAUGGAGUUCUUUUUUUUUUUUUUUUUGAGAUAGAGUCUCGCUCUGUUGCCAGGCUGGAGUGCAGUGGUGUGAUCUCAGCUCACUGCAAC
rnacentral:lncRNA from 1 species